UUUAUUUGUCUUAAGCCAAACUUGUCCAACAUUGAUUAAGUUUAUAGUAAAAUAUAACAAUAUCUAUACUAUCAAAUAUAUGUACUAUCGAAAUAUAUUCCAUGGUGGAUUCAAUGAAAUAAAUUUGGUUUUGUAGAUGUUGUUAUAUUUUUCUAUAAACUUGGUCAAAGUUGAAUAAGUUUAACUUAGGACAGACGACA
rnacentral:pre_miRNA from 1 species